ensembl:snRNA U7 U7 small nuclear RNA
AAAUGCUUACAGCUCUUUUUGAAUUUGUCUAGCAGGUCUUCUGGUUUGUACCAGAAGGCCCUU